rnacentral:rRNA from 1 species
UACGGGGGGAGCAAGCGUUGUUCGGAUUUACUGGGCGUAAAGAGUGUGUAGGCGGUGUUCCAAGUCUGGUGUGAAAUCUCCCGGCUUAACUGGGAGGGUGCGCCGGAAACUGGAAUGCUCGAGGGUGGGAGAGGUAAGCGGAAUUCCUGGUGUAGCGGUGAAAUGCGUAGAUAUCAGGAGGAACACCGGUGGCGAAGGCGGGUCUCUGGGCCGUAACUGACGCUGAGGAGCGAAAGCAUGGGGAGCGAACAGG